rnacentral:rRNA from 1 species
UACGGAGGGUGCAACCGUUGCUCGGAAUCAUUGGGCGUAAAGCGCACGUAGGUGGCCUGUUAAGUCGGGUGUGAAAUCCCUGGGCUCAACCCAGGAAGUGCACUCGAAACUGGCAGGCUUGAGUACUGAAGAGGGUCGCGGAAUUCCCGGUGUAGAGGUGAAAUUCGUAGAUAUCGGGAGGAACACCAGUGGCGAAGGCGGCGACCUGGGCAGAUACUGACACUGAGGUGCGAAAGCGUGGGGAGCAAACAGG